rnacentral:rRNA from 1 species
AACGAACGCUGGCGGCAGGCUUAACACAUGCAAGUCGAGCGCCCCGCAAGGGGAGCGGCAGACGGGUGAGUAACGCGUGGGAAUCUACCCAUCUCUACGGAAUAACGCAUGGAAACGUGUGCUAAUACCGUAUACGUCCUUCGGGAGAAAGAUUUAUCGGAGAUGGAUGAGCCCGCGUUGGAUUAGCUAUUUGGUGGGGUAAAGGCCUACCAAGUCGACGAUCCAUAGCUGGUCUGAGAGGAUGAUCAGCCACACUGGGCAUGAGACACGGCCCAGACUCCUACGGGAGGCAGCAGUGGGGAAUAUUGGACAAUGGGCGCAAGCCUGAUCCAGCCAUGCCGCGUGAGUGAUGAAGGCCCUAGGGUUGUAAAGCUCUUUCGCCGGUGAAGAUAAUGACGGUAACCGGAGAAGAAGCCCCGGCUAACUUCGUGCCAGCCGCCGCAGUAACAC